rnacentral:rRNA from 1 species
UGGGGGAUAUUGCACAAUGGGCGAAAGCCUGAUGCAGCAACGCCGCGUGAGGGAAGACGGUUUUCGGAUUGUAAACCUCUGUCUUCGGUGAAGAAAAAAAUGACGGUAGCCGAGGAGGAAGCCACGGCUAACUACGUGCCAGCAGCCGCGGUAAUACGUAGGUGGCGAGCGUUGUCCGGAAUUACUGGGUGUAAAGGGAGCGCAGGCGGGGAGACAAGUCAGCUGUGAAAACUAUGGGCUUAACCCAUAAACUGCAGUUGAAACUGUUUUUCUUGAGUGGAGUAGAGGUAGGCGGAAUUCCGAGUGUAGCGGUGAAAUGCGUAGAUAUUGGGAGGAACACCAGUGGCGAAGGCGACUUUCUGGACUGUGUCUGACGCUGAGGUGCGAAAGCGAGGGGAGCGAACG